GUCGAGCGGAAACGAUGGUAGCUUGCUACCAGGCGUCGAGCGGCGGACGGGUGAGUAACGCGUGAGAAUCUGCCCAUUUGUGGGGGAUAACUCGGGGAAACUCGAGCUAAUACCGCAUAAUCCCUACGGGGGAAAGCAGGGGACCUUCGGGCCUUGUGCAGAUGGAUGAGCUCGCGUCGGAUUAGCUUGUUGGUGAGGUAAAGGCUCACCAAGGCGACGAUCCGUAGCUGGUCUGAGAGGAUGAUCAGCCACACCGGGACUGAGACACGGCCCGGACUCCUACGGGAGGCAGCAGUGGGGAAUCUUGGACAAUGGGGGCAACCCUGAUCCAGCCAUGCCGCGUGUGUGAAGAAGGCCUUCGGGUUGUAAAGCACUUUCAGUAGGGAGGAAGGCUUACCGCUAAUAACGGUGAGUACUUGACGUUACCUACAGAAGAAGCACCGGCUAAUUUCGUGCCAGCAGCCGCGGUAAUACGAAAGGUGCGAGCGUUAAUCGGAAUUACUGGGCGUAAAGCGCGCGUAGGCGGUUUGUUAAGUCAGAUGUGAAAGCCCCGGGCUCAACCUGGGAAUUGCAUUUGAAACUGGCAGGCUAGAGUGCAGUAGAGGGAGGUGGAAUUUCCGGUGUAGCGGUGAAAUGCGUAGAGAUCGGAAGGAACACCAGUGGCGAAGGCGGCCUCCUGGACUGACACUGACGCUGAGGUGCGAAAGCGUGGGGAGCAAACAGGAUUAGAUACCCUGGUAGUCCACGCCGUAAACGAUGUCUACUAGUCGUUGGGAAUCUUAGUAUUCUUAGUGACGAAGUUAACGCGAUAAGUAGACCGCCUGGGGAGUACGGCCGCGAGGUUAAAACUCAAAUGAAUUGACGGGGGCCCGCACAAGCGGUGGAGCAUGUGGUUUAAUUCGAUGCAACGCGAAGAACCUUACCAGCCUUGACAUCCUUGGAACUUUCUAGAGAUAAUUGGUGCCUU
rnacentral:rRNA from 1 species